AAGGAACUGAUGGGUACGGAAGGGUAAUUGAGGGGCAACUCAAUUGAUGGGUAACUGACUGGCUGCUGAUUAACCUCAGGGGGCUCAAGAGAGGCCCGAGGCGGUCCGCAAGCGCCCUUCCCUGGGCCGAAGCCCCACGGAGGCUCGGAGCUAGGAUCCGAACCCCAACUUCCGGGCCUGGAAUCCGGGCGGGGAGCCCAAAAUGAGUGCGCGCAGGGGGACCCGCAGCGCCUCCGCGGCCGGGCGCACAGUGCCAUCGCGCGGCCGGAGCGAGCAGCGCAUCCGGGGCCGCCGACUCCGACCUUCGCCAGGACCAGGGACAUUACAGUUCCAAGGAACACAGAUUGGGAUAUAUUGGCAAAAGAGAUUCUUGGCUCCGGAAGAGAAGCUAAAAGCUUCUGGGAACCUAGAAGCACAGAGAAUUCCUGCCUGUGGAACCUUCCCCAAGCCACAGCAUGGGUCCAGAGGGCUUCGACUGGCAAGCCGGACUUUCCUGGGCUACGGAUGCUG
rnacentral:lncRNA from 1 species